AGAGAGAGACAUGCGCGCAUAUCAAUAAGCGGAGGAAAAGAAACUAACAUAGGAUUCCCUCAGUAACGGCGAGUGAAGCGGGAAGAGCUCAAAUUUGAAAUCUUCAAGGUUCUACCUUGACGAAUUGUAGUUUAAAGAAGUGUUUUCUGUUGAAGUUUUGGUAAAAGUUCUUUGGAAUAGGACAUCAUAGAGGGUGAGAAUCCCGUAUUUGACCAUUAUUUUCCAGCUUUGUGAUACACUUUCAAAGAGUCGGAUUGUUUGGGAAUGCAGUCCAAAAUGGGUGGUAAAUUUCAUCUAAAGCUAAAUAUUGGCGAGAGACCGAUAGCGAACAAGUACCGUGAGGGAAAGAUGAAAAGAACUUUGAAAAGAGAGUUAAACAGUACGUGAAAUUGUCAAAAGGGAAGCGUUUGACACCAGUGCUGUUUUCUCGAAAAUCAAUUAAAAAUGGCUCGAUUUUGUAUUGUUGAGACCUUAAAAGCUCACUGUACAUUUUUCGUGUCUUUCUUAAUGCACCUUUCGUUUAACAAGUCAACAUCAGUUUCUUUUGUUGUAAAAGGGUCAUUGGAAGGUGGCUUUCUUUUCGGAGAAAGUGUUUAUAGCCUUUGGCCUCUGCAAUCGGAGAGACUGAGGUCUGCAGCGUAGACUCUUCGGGGUUAGAUACAUUUGUGCUAAGUUAUAGCUUUUUAUAGACAACUUGUUGACUAUAAUUAGUCUUGUAGCUUACUCGCUUAUGCUAUUUUACCUACGCUUAGGAUGUUGAGUCGUAGAGCACGCA
rnacentral:rRNA from 1 species